rnacentral:lncRNA from 1 species
AAGCUGUUUCUGAAGAUCUGAGGGUUUCUGAAACAAGUGUCGCUGUUUAGCAACUAUCAAACCGCAAAAUGAGCAAGAUGGUCCGACUGAUCGGACCUGACGUGACUGUCGACAGCCAAUGUGAGAUGAAUCAAGCAUGUGUGACAAUCCUAUGAUGUCAGGCUGUUGUUUCACCAGAUCAGUGAGGAUUGGCCGAGAGUCGACGCCACUGUGGCACAGAGGACAAGACAGAGAGAACAACCGCCAAUCCGCAGUCACUAGCUCAGCCAGACUAAGCACACCACAAGGGGGCAGUGUCGGCCAGCGCAGGGGUGAGGCACACCUGGAACCCUUGCACGCAGGCCGGUCAGACAAUCCUGGAUCCCACCACCACCUGCGACACGUCUCGUCCAGCUUUCAAACCCGACUCCUGCACCAGCACCGAGGAUCCGAGCCGGACGCCGAGAUGAGUGACACUACGUCCGAGGAGAGAUCCAGCACCACCACCGUCCUACUGCUCUUCGUCUUCUUGCUCCUCUUGGCCGUUCUGCUCGUCUUCUUCUACCGCCGGCUGAACCGAGCCACGGACGGGGCCUACGCCCUGAGCAAGCUCGGCCCGUGGCUGGGAGGCCAGGCGGAGAGGGCGAGCUCAGGCCUGCGGGCCCUGGAGGGCCGCGUGGGGCUCGGCCGGGGGGGGAGAGAGGGGGGCUUGGGGGACGAAGAGGCAGAAGAGGAGGGCGGCGAGGAGGAGGAGGAGGAGGAGGAGGAGGACCGAGAGAAGGACGUCGAAGCCUGCGCCUCCAGGCCGCGAGUGAAGUCGGACAGCGAGGACUCGGAGGAUGACUACUCCAGUAUGGAAGGCUGCAACCUCAGGGACAGGGCCAAGCUGGACGAGGAAGAGGAGGAGGAGCAAGAGAAGGAGAGGGAGGGGGAGCAGGCGGGGGAGAAGGGAGGGCUCCUGGUGGACCUGGGGCACUUUGCCGGCAGCGCCUCCUGGGCAGCAGACGAGUCACUUGUGCAGGGGAAGGAGGACAUGACUGUGCUGUAA